UUUUGUUUUUGUUUUUGUUUUUUGUCUUUUUGAGACGGGGUCUUAUCGUGCAAUUCAGGCUGGCCUUGGGCUCACUUUGUAGCCCAGGCUAGUGUCGAACUCGCAACGAUCCUCCUGCUUCAGCCUCCCGAGUGCUAGAUGCAGCCCAGAGCCUCCCAGUGAGGGCAAGUGCCCGCAGCUCAGCCGCAGCCCCACCCACACCCCCAGCCCCUAGCGGAAGUCUUUCCAUGCAAAUUAGGAUGACGUCAGUCACUUCACAUUCAUUGGCUACCAGGAUGAUGACGAAGGUGGUAGGGCGUGGCCUGGCGGCACACACCUGUCAUCCUAGUUUGUCUGCACAAAAAAUAAAGAGGAACCUAAACCCCAGCCCUAGCUCAGCAGCAAUGUGCACAAAGCUCGUCCGGAGAGAGUUUCUCUUCUCCGUUUCCCCAGCUGCAGAAGGCGGGGGCUGAGCUGAAGGUUACAUCAGACCCCUGCCGGCAGCAAACACGGAAGUUAAUGUUUAACCCUCGGAAAUCAGACGCGCUGGUGGCCGCCCCAGGCUGUUAAAGAUGCCAGCCGAGCUGAUCGAGCUUCGUGGGCAGAGCCGGAAGACCCAGCCUCGGCCCCAGCCAUGACUCAGGUCAUGAGACGAAGUUACAACACCCAAGAGGAGCUGCAGAAGUUGCACGGAGCUGCGUGACCUCUGCGGACUCGCACAUCCUGUUCCCUGCUUGGCGCUUCCCACAUUCCUUCCUCCCUCUGAGUACUGAAGCACCUGGUUUCAUCCUCCUGCCUCAGCCUCCCAGAGUACCCCGGUGACAGGGCCUGCACCACUCUGCCUGGCUAGCCCAUGUUUUUUUAAUGAAAUAUCCUUAUCUUCCUGAUUGUGCUCUUUGCUUCGUUCAAUCCAGACCCUGGAUAGAUGUUUGUUGAAUGAAUAUUUAUAAGUUAGUGCACUAUUGAGCACUCACUGUGUAGUCCAGGCUGGUCUCGAACUCACAAUGAUCCUCCUGCCUCAGCCUCCCAAGUGCUGGGAUGACAGGCGUGCAGUAGCUGUGUCCUCUGUUCCAGGGUUACAGGGGUCCACCACCACACACACAGACUUGGCACAUUUUUUUUGGUACCAGGAUUUGAACUCAGGACCUCACACUUGCCAGGCAGGCGCUGUGCCACUGAGCCACACCCUCGGCAUGUCACGUUUUGAAGUUGAGUCUGCAUUAUUUACUGUUCCACUUUCUUAAGUCUAGACCACAAAUUGCCAUGCUAUGACCUAGCACUUGUUCAUGAAAAUAAAGUUUUAUUGGCACACACCACAAA